GGGGUUGUGGCUCAGCGGUAGAGCACUUGCCUGGCGUAUAUGAGACCCUGGGUUCAAUCCUCAGCACCACA
rnacentral:tRNA from 1 species